UACAGAGGUCUCAAGCGUUGUUCGGAUUCAUUGGGCGUAAAGGGCGCGUAGGCGGUCAGAUAAGUCAGCUGUGAAAACCUCGGGCUUAACCCGAGGCCUGCAGUUGAAACUGUUUGGCUGGAGUGUGGGAGAGGAGAGUGGAAUUCCCGGUGUAGCGGUGAAAUGCGUAGAUAUCAGGAGGAACACCGGUGGCGAAGGCGGGUCUCUGGGCCGUAACUGACGCUGAGGAGCGAAAGCGUGGGGAGCGAACAGG
rnacentral:rRNA from 1 species